AAUACUUUCAACAGCUUAUUCAUGUAGUUGCCCAUUGUCAUUCCAAGGGUGUAUAUCAUAGGGAUUUAAAGCCUGAAAAUCACCUUCUUGAUUCAAAAGAAAGGCUAAAAGUUUCAGAUUUUGGACUCAGUGCACUCCCACAAGAAGUUGGUGAUGUUGUGCUCGUUCAGAACUUAUGAAGUUUGUCAUGUUUUCCAACUUCUCCAUUGUUGGAAUGAACAUCAGUCUAAUGUGGAACUCAGUAGGAUUCUACCAGGUACGUAGUAGUAAACUAGUAAUAAUGUACAUAACACUCCAUUCAAAUUGGAUGAAUUCUGAAUUCUGUGAUUGAUUUGUAAAUUCCCAUACAGCAAAGCUGACAGUAUCAUGUUUAUUUGAGUGACAAGAUUCGAUAUUCGGGCGACACAAAGCUGAGUAUUUUGGUUGUUCUUCUUGGUGUUGUUGUAUGCACUGUUAUGGACAUGAGUAUUCUCAAGAGAAACUAUUCUUUACAUCUUUAUCUGCAUGCACUUAAUCCUAGACUACUAGGGUGUUCUUUAUGUUACAGAGAGACAAUAUAAUAUCCCAUUUCCUAUAAAACUGUCAUGUUUGUCUUUUCAUCUUGAUUUUAUAAACUGAUUGACCAUUAGCCUGUAAUGUCACCAUCCAAAAACCAAUUAAUUUUUGGAUUCAAUGGAAGAUUGAUACAAUAUAAUAGCUCAUUUUAGUAGAUUGAUGAAUUUAAAUAUUUUCGCCAUUUUAAAAGAUUAGGCUUUCACUAUAGGUUAUAGCUAUUCUUAGUAAUUCUUUUAAAUAUAUAGAGAGUAAAUAACAUUUCCAUGUGUUGCAGUCAUUUUAUGGAUUUGGUCCGAAAAUAAAUCUUUUUUUCACCUUUGGUCCAUAUUUCAUUGUUUCAUGACACUUUUGGUCCCUGACAUUGAAUCCUUUAACAACUGGAGCCUAAUGCAUGUAAUGAUUCAGUCACAUUGUCUAAUGAUUCGUGGAGAAUCAAUGGCAUCAAUGCAAACUAUGACAUUUGUCAAACUUACCCUGUUUCUUUACUAUUACCAAAAUCCAUCGGAUAAUUUCAUAGUUACUGCACUUUUUCUAAUUCUCAGUUUUAACAGUUAACACAUGCCAUCUGUUCUAAAUUCUAAUGAGAUGUAGGCACUGGAGGUGUUCUUGGAAGAUUAUGCCAACCGCUAGUUGGGCUAAUGAUGAAUAUGAGAAAUUAAUGCUGCUAACUUUACCAUACUAUUACUAACCCUAAGAAUGCAUGGGUAAAAUUGUCUUAUAAUAAUUUUGAAUGCAGAAAUGUUGAUGAGAUCUGAAUUAUUGUUGAUUUCUUCUCUAACUUCUUGAAGCAAACCAAGGUACUCACUUUAAAUUUUCCCUUAAUGUAAUAUGGUUGGAAUCAAAGAAAAAAAAACAACAUUAAAUCAAGAAAAUCAAGAACUUCACUCACUGUAGAACAUGUGAGGGAAAAAAAAGCUUAUCAGGACGAAGUUAAAAAAAACGGUUAGUAGCAAAGAAACAAAUGUAUGAUGCUAAAAAAAGUUAUAAAGAUGCUUUUGAGGUAUUUAUAUUUUAGUGUUUUUUUUCAAGUUUAUGUUUAUUAAUUUAUAGACUUGAUUUUUUUUCUCCCUUACUUUUUUAGAAGGAACAAUUGAAAUAUCAAAGAGAGUGUAUGGAGUCAAUAAAGAAGCUUGGAAUACAAUUGGUAGUAAAUCAAGAAAAGCAAGGAGAUAAAAGAGUUAAAGUUUGAUUUAAAGAUGAAACCCUUCAUAAGACACCUCAUGGGGAGGUAUUCAUUUUGUCUUGAAUUAUGUACAUCUAUAAAGGUGAACAUAUCAUUGAGCAGAUAGUAAAAAUAAAAACUCACUGCCUGUUUUCAUAUGUUUUGGGUAUUUAGCAUUAGAAAUGAAUGAUAUUGGAACCCUUCUUGUGUCUGGUGGCACAGAGCGGGUACUUUUUUCUUUUCAAUACAUUGUACUUUUAAAAUUCUUCCUCAUUAUUUCAAAAAACUACUCAAUUCUAGUAGUGUUCCAUACAUCCUCUGCUUACAAAGCAACCGAGUUUAGCGCUAAUUAAGCUAUAGAAUAGCCUUUGAGCACAAAAACCAAUAUCUUUAAACACACAGAUACACAUUAUGCAGUAUAUAGCUCUAAAACCAACUCGAAACUCAGAGGUUCAUAUGUAUUGUACUUUAGUCACUUACAGUUUUAUUUUGAAGAAUUAAAUGGUAUUGUUAUUAUUGAGGUGUAUAUUAUAAAUAUUUGUAAUUUGGAUUUUAUGUACAUGCAUUAUGUACCAGAUCCUGACAUUAAGCCACUUAAGAGUUUCAGAGCUUACAUAAUUCUAAUUCAUAUUUUUUAUGCCUAAGCUUGAUUCCCACACAUCCUUUGAACACAAUGCAACUGAGUUUACCACUAAGAAAGUAUUGGUAAUCUCAAAUGGACACCGGAUCUCCAUGAACCGGUUCAUAGAAGUAGUCAACUAGCAUGGAUGAGAAAAUAGCUACUUCAAAAUCAGUUUUGAAGCUAAUGGGAAUUCAAGGGCUUACUCUAUUCCACUUAAAGAGUCAUCUCCAGGAUUUCCGUGUUUUUAAUCAAGAGUUGGGAUUGAUAUUGAAGCUAAGAGACAUGAUGAUUGUUUAGAUACAUGAAGGGUUUUAGAGCUUCUUCAGACAAAUUAAUGACGAGUUACUGAAACAAGAAGGUGCCCCUUUAUAGCAAUGUAGUAUUAGCCUAUACAGUUAGGGAAAACCUCUUAAUAACAAUGUACAAUAAGAUCCCUUUAAUAUCAAUGUAUUAAAUUUUUUUGACAUGAUGUAAUUAGUUGAAAUUGAUUGUUUUGGUAUAUGUGAUUCUAUAUUUUUGUAUUA